ensembl:lncRNA
CAUAAAUGAAGACGGGAGCGGUGGGAACGAGUGUUUUAAGUCCUCUCAGUCAGACCUAUUCCAGGAGAAUUUAUCUGAAACGCAGAGCAACCCAGAGUAAACUUGUCUUAUGAUCAUGAAUUUUGGCAAAAUAUCAAGAAAUUUGGAAAGUGAUCAAAUUCCUUUCACCUUCAAGAAAGAGAAGUAUGAGGUCGACUACCUUCAUAAAGCUAGAAGAAGUUGCAAAAAAUAGCUGAAGACGUCCACAAUUUCUUGGAUUCUCCACUCAAACAACGAAAAGGAAAGCGUCCUCCGUGGUGGUGUUUCUCUGAAGAACUGGCUGGAGGAACGCCGUUUGAACUGAGACCGUUGGCGCUGCAGAUCUCUGUGGCAGAUAGAAAGAGAGAACAUGGAAGCAAGUGAGGUGUCCAAGGACUUCAUCACAAACACCGAAUUCCAAUCUUUAUUACCAGACGAAAUUUUUCCUGAGUCAUCCAAGGAAGACAAACGUUUGCUGUUGGCUGGUCACGGCUUCCGUCUUGACUGCUUCAUCUGCGAAUCCGAUGAGUCGUAACAAUCCGGGCACAUUUUCCCCCAUGGAAAGUAUGAGAGGGUGUGUGUGAGUCCAAGAUGAACUAUGGGAAGGAAAGGAAAAUGCAUGAGGACUGUUGACUUCGAUGGAAUCCCUAUUUGAAGAGUUCAUUUGUCCGUGAUAGUGUGGUGCUGAAGAGUAGCCAAAGAUACACUGUUUCAACUAACAGUUUCUCUACAUUAGGGUGGUGGUACCAGCACUAGCACUACACGCAUCUCCUCCCAGCUCUGCCUUAAUGCCACAGGCCCCCGCCCAGUACCCAAGGCCAACAGCCCAGUGCAAAAGGACACAACACGCUAAGAGGAGACUUGUGAAAAUCACCCAAAGCCAAAGCAGAAAAUAUACCAAGUGCGGACUUUGAAUGAGACUUAUUCAGUACUCUACUCCGACAUUUCGUCAGAAAUUUAUCAAAUGACUUUUUGGAUGUUUCUCUUCUUAGUGCGCUAGUCAUCAAAAGUCGAGAUCUGCAAGCCACACCAAGACAAGCUUCAAACAAAGAACCUGUUCUCACAACCUAUGAUCAUCCGCCACCCCAGGUUCCAGAAAGGUAACCUGAGGCAUCUGAGGUCCUACAAAUCCGAAGGUCAUGCUCUGUCUGGAAACAGUCAAAUAUAAUCUGUGAUAUGCCAGCCAUCAGCUUGCUUCGGACAAAGGAUAAAGAAGAAGUCAAGUUUCCAUCCUAACUCUCCCCAAACAGGUGAGGGAAGAGGCAUGAAGGAAGUCCCACAGCCACACCAGGAGACAUAAUCAGAGCCAGAUGCCAAGCUUUCUGAAUCAAGUGGACUCACAUGCCAUAAAAAUGAGUGGUUUAUUAUAGGCCUCUAAUUAACAAAAUAUGGUUUUUACAUACAGCCAACAGAGUGUACCCCACUGUGUGCCCAUAAAACACGCUUGGCAAAUUGGAAAUAACAGAAUGGCCAUUUUCACCACAUUAAGAAGACUGAGCUCGAGUUUUGUAUUACGUCUACCUUGCAUCAACCCUACAAGGAGCAAAGUCAAAUAGUCAGUCAAUAUUUAGUACAUCAUUCACUUAAUAAAAUCUUUUGAGUGUUUACUGUAAGCAAAACUAACAUACGCAGAAUCGUUGGAAGUAAAAACUUGACUCCAUCUAUAGCCCAAAUUUCAGGCAUGCCUUUAAAUUACAACUAUUUUGUUUAAAAUUUUGUCAAAUGGCCAUUUUGUAAAUUAACUUACUAAAAUGACCGUUCAGGGACAGAGGACAGACAGGAUCAUCUGGGGCCAUAUUAUUCCUCCAUUGUCCCUUUAGAGAGCCUGUUCAACUGUCACAAAACAAGGCAGUAUAAAUGUGGCUCCAGUGCUCAUCAACUCUUUCUUAAUACUGCUCUCAUUAUAUUAAUACUCAAGGACAGCGAUGAUGGUCGUGACAAGCGUCAUAAAUGAUGAAGUACUGCAUCUUCGCGAGGUAAUUGAUUGAGGCACAUUCAGGCUAUUGAGCUUUCCACAAUUGGCAGGUGUGUCUUUUAUAAAAUCCCAGAUCAAGGGCCAGCCUGGGUAGCCCAGUGGUUAAGUUCAGCACGCUCUGCUUUUUUUGGUGGCUCGGGUUCAGUUCCUGGGCGCAGACCUACACCACUCUGUUAGUGGCCAUGCUGUGCUGGCAGCCCACAUACUAAAAAGUAGAGGAAGAUUGGCACUGAUGUUCACUCAGGGUGAAUCUUCCAUAAGAAAAUUAAAAAAUAAAAAUAAUUUUAAAAACCCCAAGUCUAAAGAAAGAGAGAAAGGUCUUCACUGGCCUCCGUGGUCCACAGCUCCUCUAUAUACAGUGUGAGAAGGACAGCUCUGGGACCAGGCGAGGCUCUCUAUGGCUCUGUUCCUUAGGAGUGGGGGCAGCAGCUGCAUCACUUACACGCAUGGUGGCAUUCCACUGCCAGCAUCUGCCAGCCACUGCUGAACUGCGCUAACUGAGAAGUAAAACUCCUUGCCAGUGAGUGCACUGAUUGGCGUGCCGAGAGCCGACUCCCAGCAGUAGAGAGGCCUGCAGCCAGAGGACAAUCGAUGACGAUGAACAGGUCAAAUAAAAGCAUGUUCCUGGGGUCCAACUUGGUUUUGAAAGCUGAAGUGUCCUGAUCGUAUCCAGUUAACCACAUGUAGGGCUGCUGUAUUUUCUCUGCUCUGAAAACGCAGGUGUUACCACACCAGGAAGUUGGCUGCGUUAGGAGGUUCUCGAAAGCGCUGCUUCUGGUACUAAGGUCCCACUUAUUGGUAGCCCCACGCCCCUCGCAUCCCUUCUCACAGUCUCUCAAGCCCCAUGUGGAGUAUGGAAUUGAAUAAACAAGGUUCCAUCCAGAGAAGACCAAGUCCUCCUUAUGCGUAUUCAUUCCUGGAGAGUGCUAAGCAUCUCUUCUGAGACGGACUGAGAAUGCCCUGUAAGAAACCAUGUCUGAAAGCAGAGCACAGUCUCUGGGAGGAGCUUCCUGGUGCUGGAAACAACAAGGGUAUGAUUUCUAUUAAUCUGCGAAAAUGCACUCGUUCAAAUGAGAGAAGUGGAUGGAUAAAAAACUCAUCAGGGUAUGUUGAUGCCACACUCCUACUCCUUUAGGUAUUGUCUUGUAGAUUUCAACCAACAAUCAAGUAUCAACACUAAGCAUCAAUCAAUAAUCUAGUAAUCAUCAAGUAUCAAUUGAUCAACAUUUAUUAUCUAUUCUUUGCUAGAAAGGGAUGUAAGAUAAAAACAAGACAUUUUCCCUACCCUUUUUAUAUUUAAGGCAUACGUAAUUCGCUUAAUAAAAACUUUUAAGUAUAUACUCUAGGCAAAACUAACAUACAUAGAAUCAUUGGAAAUAAAAGCUGGACUCUAUCUGUAGCCCAAAUUUCAGACAUGCUUUUAAAUCUCCAAACAAAUUUAAACUUUUUUUUCCAUAUAGAGAACAUUCAAAUAUUUAAAGAUAAUAUACAUAUUGUCUUCUUUGUUCCAGGCUAAAAUUUUUUUAACUGUUUCUCAUAUGAUAAGAUUUUUUAAAUCAUGCCCCAUCUUAAUUAUCUCUAAAUACUCUCCCAUUUUAAGCAUCAUUCUUAAUAUGAUCUGGCUCUAUGCCUUCACUCUAUGAAACUCUACCUUCUUAUCUGUGAAAUGGCAGAGUUAGGCUAGAUUAAUAAGAUUGUAUCCUCCUAUCAUUAAAAAAACUGAUUUGAACAAACUUCCGCUCCCAUAGGUCUACGCAUCUAUGCAAUAUCCUCCGAGAGCACUGUCUUCACAUCAGACAUGUUGAAAAGAGAUUAGGAUUGCGUGGCAACCACCGUAAAGGAUGUGGUUUCUAGAGAAUUUGUCAGGAACAGAGGUCGUAUGUUGUCUAGUGUGACAGAUGGACGGAUUCAUUUACAAGGUCACCAGAUGCGUGACCUACAAAGGCUCUUAGCUCUUCGGGUCCAACUCACUCUUUUUACUGAGUGGAAAAGAGAUCCAGGUGCCAAGUCACUUGUUCACGAGCAACACUGUGUGUAGCAUACUUAUUUUCCAAAAACGUUAGCAGCACGAUUUCUGAUCCCACCUGGUCUUAGAGACCCUUGCCACACCUCCAUCAAGAAGUAGGGUCUGUCUCCCCUCUCCUGGUGACAGCUUCCAGGAAGAGAAUGCAGCAGAAGUGAUGCUGUGUGAGUUCCGAGGCUAGAUCAUAAUAGGCCACGUGGCACAUGGCUCCCUCUCUCUGUCUCAUUCAUCUCUCUGCACAUCUUUGGAGCCCUGAACCACCACAUAAGAAUUCUGGUUUUCCAGAAGCCAACAAACUAGAGAGACCACGUAGAGAGACCAAAGAGAGGCAUCGGAGAGCCCCGCUGGCCAGCCUCCAGCUGUUUGCAUCUUCCCAGCUCAGGAGUCAAAGACAGUCUACAUUCUUAACACCAUGUGGUAUUGGAUGCCCUGCUGGGGAAUGGAUGCCUAACCGAAGAGGCAAUAGAAAAAACGUUGUUUUUAAAGAGAGGACUAAUAUAAUACAGUGGACUUCUCAUCAAAGAGACAUGAGGAGGAGAUGAGAGUUCAGUAUGAAGACUCUACAAACGGACUCAAAAACCUUUGGAUACCUUCUUGAAACAGCCCCAAACUCAUAUUCUUUUUCUGAAAAGUCACUUGGUCCCAUUUUUGAACCUGUAGAGUGAUAAUAAAUUACCCUCGUCACCACCCUCCUCACUAGGAUAUUGAAAGAAUUAAUGAGAUAGUGUCUGUUAAAUGCUUUGAGCUUAUUGGAAGGUGUCAAGAAAGAAAAAUAAGAAAUACUAUUAUCUUUGAAGCCCUUCUAAUCCAAUGAGCUUCAGCGAAGCCUAAAAAUACCUCCAGUCUCUCUUCAAAUCUUUUUCUCCCUAACUUUUAAAGGUUGGCAUGACUGAUUCAUCUACCAUUACUAAAAGCAGUCAACAAAAUGGAAAAGAAAAGCUUCAUGCAAAUUGCUCUGUGUUUCUGCACAGGAGGUUAUGCAGAGCAAAGAAUACAACCUACUUCCUGUCCCCCCUAUAGCUCAGGGCCCUAUCUGGUUAUGUGGCUGUAACUUAUCCUCAC